GUUUGUUGAAUAUAGAUGAUUAUCAUUUCAUUCUUAUUUUUGGCCACUAAAAAAGAUAAGUCCUACAGAACAUUAUAUUAAUUUUUUAUAUAUAACCAUGAAAUAUAAUGUACAGUUGCCAUGGCAACAACAUAGGAACUUCUUCUCAUUAAAGACAUCCAACGAGAUUCAUAGUUAACAUUUUAAAGCACCUAAAUGACCCUGACUGGUAUUCACUCCAAACAAUCACAAGAGUAAACGUCCCUUGUUCUGCAUUUUCUUGAUGUAGUUCUCAGCUUUUAUUAUCCAUAUUUCCUUUCUCCAUCGAACUUUCAGGAUAACAUUUAUGUACAUCUCUGGCCAUAUUACGAGCAUCACUAAACAAACAAAU
rnacentral:lncRNA from 1 species